GACAGGAGGCAGGGGGGCUGUAUUUUAGUUGAGCUCCCUGAUACAGCUGGAUACACCAUACACAUUUUUAACCCUAGCCUCUGUGUCUGAAGGUAUGUCUAUACUACCCGCUGGAUCAGCGGGGAGCGAUCAAUCCAGCGGGGGUCGAUUUAUCACGUCUAGUUGACCCCUGAGCGCUCUCCCAUCGACUCCUGUACUCCGCCGCCGCGAGAGACACAGGCACAGUCGACGAGGGAGCGGCAACAGUCGACUCACCACAGUGAAGACACCGCGCUUUCUUUGCAAGACUCAUCACCCUCCAGCAAUGAGUCAGUUAACAUAGCUGAAAAAACAUUCCAGAGAAGUUUGUAGCAAAUUUCAUGGAAAUACAGCCCGUGGUGUCAAGCUGUCAUUCGUGAUGUAAAUUGCAGAAGUCGGGCACCCACUACACCCUGCAUGUCAUGUCCAUUGAUUAAUGGCAUCUUUAACCCAUCCUUUCCUUACCAGUGCCCUAUCUGAAGGAGAAGUGAGCUUGCUAUAGUAAUGAAUCCGC